AUUCAUAUUGUGUGUUGAGUGUUUGGGGUUUGAGCUCGUGUCUCAGCAGAUAAAUCGACCUGAAAGAUGAACAUUUCUACAGAAAACACUUUUUGUGUCUGAUGCUGCGUUUGGGUCCCGUGGGAAAUCAGAUUUUUAAAUACGAUUGAACUGCGUCGUGUCUCACCAUGAGCUCCUUACACCUGCAGCCCACAGGCAUGGACUACUGGCUUCAACCCCCCAUCCACCUGGGGAAUCAGGACCUGGGGCUCAGAGCGAGGCCUCCCCUCCUUCAGCUUCCCCUGUGAGGAUCUUCAGCAGCAGACUGCGGUUGUACUCUGCAGCUCCCAGGACCGGAUCCUUCGCCAGGCGCAGCCCACAAAGGCGUGACCCUCAGCGUGACCCAGAAGAGACGGCGAAGCUUCACAGAGACCAAAGUACAGAUUUCAAAUGUUACCUCCAGCUGAUGAAGACAUGGAUACAGUGAUAACUUCAUCAUCAUCAUCCGAGCCUUUGCACAGCCUGAAGUCGACCCUCCCGUGGUUUAAAUGCAUCAUGAGACUUGAGCUCUCUGAGCUUCCAGUUUUCAGUCUCAUUCAGCUGUUUGAAGAUGUGCUGGAUGCCCGAAAAGCUUUUUUGCCGCUCAUACGUGAGUAAAAAGACUGUUUUCUCUCGAUAUGAGGCCGCUCUGCUCGCUCCCUUUGAGCUUCUUCCUGUUGUUCAACCAGCGAGUAUCACAAUUUGUACAAAAUGAUGAAACACACGUCACAGAAUAACAGAGCUGCUGUUUAAUAUGAGAAGACACAG